rnacentral:rRNA from 1 species
CUGUUGUUAGUUGCCAGCGAGUCAUGUCGGGAACUCUAACAAGACUGCCAGUGUAAACUGUGAGGAAGGUGGGGAUGACGUCAAAUCAUCACGGCCCUUACGCCUUGGGCUACACACGUGCUACAAUGGCCGGUACAGAGGGCAGCCAACCCGCGAGGGGGAGCUAAUCCCAGAAAGCCGGUCGUAGUCCGGAUUGCAGUCUGCAACUCGACUGCAUGAAGCCGGAAUCGCUAGUAAUCGCGGAUCAGCAUGUCGCGGUGAAUACGUUCCCGGGUCUU